rnacentral:rRNA from 1 species
GGGGGGGCCGGCCUACACAUGCAAGUCGAGCGCAAUCCUUCGGGAUCGAGCGGCGGACGGGUUAGUAACGCGUGGGAACAUACCCUUCUCUAAGGAAUAGCCUCGGGAAACUGAGAGUAAUACCUUAUACGCCCUUCGGGGGAAAGAUUUAUCGGAGAAGGAUUGGCCCGCGUAAGAUUAGAUAGUUGGUGGGGUAACGGCCUACCAAGUCUACGAUCUUUAGCUGGUUUGAGAGGAUGAUCAGCAACACUGGGACUGAGACACGGCCCAGACUCCUACGGGAGGCAGCAGUGGGGAAUCUUAGACAAUGGGCGAAAGCCUGAUCUAGCGAUGCCGCGUGUGUGACGAAGGCCUUAGGGUCGUAAAGCACUUUCGCCAAGGAUGAUAAUGACAGUACUUGGUAAAGAAACCCCGGCUAACUCCGUGCCAGCAGCCGCGGUAAC